rnacentral:rRNA from 1 species
GUGGCAAGUCUUCCAGUAUGGGGAGCAAACAGCUAUGGGUCAAGCCCGAUACCUUUAAGAGAAGUCUUAUUGUGAGGGCGAGUUGUAUAACACCAUAGGGCUGGCCGUCCCAUAUGAAAAGAUUUUAUUAGAAUUGAAUGAAACUUUGUUUAUAUAUUGAUAAUGACAGUAUAUAUAUCGUGUCUUGACUAAUUGCGUGCCAGCAGUCGCGGUAAUACGUAAGAGACUAGUGUUAUUCAUCUUAAUUAGGUUUAAAGGGUACCCAGACGGUCUAUAUAGCUUAUAAAAUGUUAGUAUAAGACUAGAGUUUUAUGUAAGAGGGCAGUACUUGAGGAGGAGAGAUGAAAUUUCGUGAUACCAAAGGGACUCUGUAAAGGCGAAGGCAGCCCUCUAUGUAAAAACUGACGUUGAAGGACGAAGGCACAGAGAACAAACAGGAUUAGAUACCCAAGUAGUCUUUGCAGUAAAUGAUGAAUGCCAUAGGUUA